rnacentral:rRNA from 1 species
GACGAACGCUGGCGGCGUGCUUAACACAUGCAAGUCGAACGGAAAGGCCCUGCUUUUGUGGGGUGCUCGAGUGGCGAACGGGUGAGUAACACGUGAGUAACCUUCCCUUGACUUUGGGAUAACUUCAGGAAACUGGGGCUAAUACCGGAUAGGAGCUCCUGCUGCAUGGUGGGGGUUGGAAAGUUUCGGCGGUUGGGGAUGGACUCGCGGCUUAUCAGCUUGUUGGUGGGGUAGUGGCUUACCAAGGCUUUGACGGGUAGCCGGCCUGAGAGGGUGAACGGCCACAUUGGGACUGAGAUACGGACCAGACUCCUACGGGAGGCAGCAGUGGGGAAUAUUGCACAAUGGGCGGAAGCCUGAUGCAGCAACGCCGCGUGCGGGAUGACGGCCUUCGGGUUGUAAACCGCUUUCGCCUGUGACGAAGCGUGAGUGACGGUAAUGGGUAAAGAAGCACCGGCUAACUACGUG